GAGAAGAACGCAGCGAAAUGCGAUAAGUAAUGUGAAUUGCAGAAUUCAGUGAAUCAUCGAAUCUUUGAACGCACAUUGCGCCCCCUGGUAUUCCGGGGGGCAUGCCUGUCCGAGCGUCAUUACAACCCUCAAGCUCAGCUUGGUGUUGGGCCCCGCCGUCCCGGCGGGCCCUAAAGUCAGUGGCGGUGCCGUCCGGCUCCGAGCGUAGUAAUUCUUCUCGCUCUGGAGGUCCGGUCGUGUGCUCGCCAGCAACCCCCAAUUUUUUCAGGUUGACCUCGGAUCAGGUAGGGAUACCCGCUGAACUUAAGCAUAUCAAUAAGCGGAGGA
rnacentral:misc_RNA from 1 species